rnacentral:rRNA from 1 species
UAUCUCUGUAGAGUCUGCAUAUCAAUAAGCGGAGGAAAAGAAACUAACAUAGGAUUCCCUCAGUAACGGCGAGUGAAGCGGGAAGAGCUCAAGUUUGAAAUCUUCAAGGUUCUACCUUGACGAAUUGUAGUUUAAAGAAGUGUUUUCUGUUGGAGUUUUGGUAAAAGUUCUUUGGAAUAGGACAGUCAUAGAGGGUGAGAAUCCCGUAUUUGACCAUUACUUCCAGCGUUGUGAUACACUUUCAAAGAGUCGGAUUGUUUGGGAAUGCAGGUCCAAAAUGGGUGGUAAAUUUCAUCUAAAGCUAAAUACUGGCGAGAGACCGAUAGCGAACAAGUACCGUGAGGGAAAGAUGAAAAGAACUUUGAAAAGAGAGUUAAACAGUACGUGAAAUUGUCAAAAGGGAAGCGUUUGACACCAGUGUUGUUUUUCCGAAAAUCAAUUACGAAUGGCUUGAUUCUGUGUUGUAUUGACCUUAUCAGCUUUCUUCACUUUUUUCGAGUCUUUCUUAAUGCACUUUUCGGUUAACAAGUCAACAUCAAUUUCUUUUGUUGUAAAAGAGUAUUCGGAAGGUGGCUUUCUUUUCGGAGAAAGUGUUUAUAGCCCUAUACUUCUACAAUCGGAGAGAUUGAGGUCUGCAGCGUAGAUCCUUCGGGGUUAGAUACACUUGUGCUAAGUUGUAGCUUUUCAUAGACAACUUGUUGACUAUGUUUAGUCAUGCGGCUUACUCGCUUGUGCUAUUUUACCUACGCUUAGGAUGUUGAAGAUGUAGCACAUCAU